UACGUAUGGUGCAAGCGUUAUCCGGAUUUACUGGGUGUAAAGGGAGCGUAGGCGGGAGAUUAAGUUAAGAGUGAAAGCCUUGGGCUCAACCCAAGAAAUGCUCUUAAUACUGGUUUUCUAGAGUGUGGGAGAGGUAAGUGGAAUUCCUAGUGUAGCGGUAGAAUGCGUAGAGAUUAGGAGGAACAUCAGAGGCGAAGGCGGCUUACUGGACCAUAACUGACGCUGAGGCUCGAAAGCGUGGGGAGCAAACAGG
rnacentral:rRNA from 1 species